UGGCGAGGGUGUGCUAUACAUGCAAGUCGAACGCGUUGGCCCAAUUGAUUGAUGGUGCUUGCACCUGAUUGAUUUUGGUCGCCAACGAGUGGCGGACGGGUGAGUAACACGUAGGUAACCUGCCCAGAAGCGGGGGACAACAUUUGGAAACAGAUGCUAAUACCGCAUAACAGCGUUGUUCGCAUGAACAACGCUUAAAAGAUGGCUUCUCGCUAUCACUUCUGGAUGGACCUGCGGUGCAUUAGCUUGUUGGUGGGGUAACGGCCUACCAAGGCGAUGAUGCAUAGCCGAGUUGAGAGACUGAUCGGCCACAAUGGGACUGAGACACGGCCCAUACUCCUACGGGAGGCAGCAGUAGGGAAUCUUCCACAAUGGGCGCAAGCCUGAUGGAGCAACACCGCGUGAGUGAAGAAGGGUUUCGGCUCGUAAAGCUCUGUUGUUAAAGAAGAACACGUAUGAGAGUAACUGUUCAUACGUUGACGGUAUUUAACCAGAAAGUCACGGCUAACUACGUGCCAGCAGCCGCGGUAAUACGUAGGUGGCAAGCGUUAUCCGGAUUUAUUGGGCGUAAAGAGAGUGCAGGCGGUUUUCUAAGUCUGAUGUGAAAGCCUUCGGCUUAACCGGAGAAGUGCAUCGGAAACUGGAUAACUUGAGUGCAGAAGAGGGUAGUGGAACUCCAUGUGUAGCGGUGGAAUGCGUAGAUAUAUGGAAGAACACCAGUGGCGAAGGCGGCUACCUGGUCUGCAACUGACGCUGAGACUCGAAAGCAUGGGUAGCGAACAGGAUUAGAUACCCUGGUAGUCCAUGCCGUAAACGAUGAGUGCUAGGUGUUGGAGGGUUUCCGCCCUUCAGUGCCGGAGCUAACGCAUUAAGCACUCCGCCUGGGGAGUACGACCGCAAGGUUGAAACUCAAAGGAAUUGACGGGGGCCCGCACAAGCGGUGGAGCAUGUGGUUUAAUUCGAAGCUACGCGAAGAACCUUACCAGGUCUUGACAUCUUGCGCCAACCCUAGAGAUAGGGCGUUUCCUUCGGGAACGCAAUGACAGGUGGUGCAUGGUCGUCGUCAGCUCGUGUCGUGAGAUGUUGGGUUAAGUCCCGCAACGAGCGCAACCCUUGUUACUAGUUGCCAGCAUUAAGUUGGGCACUCUAGUGAGACUGCCGGUGACAAACCGGAGGAAGGUGGGGACGACGUCAGAUCAUCAUGCCCCUUAUGACCUGGGCUACACACGUGCUACAAUGGACGGUACAACGAGUCGCGAACUCGCGAGGGCAAGCAAAUCUCUUAAAACCGUUCUCAGUUCGGACUGCAGGCUGCAACUCGCCUGCACGAAGUCGGAAUCGCUAGUAAUCGCGGAUCAGCAUGCCGCGGUGAAUACGUUCCCGGGCCUUGUACACACCGCCCGUCACACCAUGAGAGUUUGUAACACCCAAAGUCGGUGGGGUAACCUUUUAGGAGCCAGCCGCCUAAGGUGACAGAUAUG
rnacentral:rRNA from 2 species